GAUGAACGCUGGCGGCGUGCCUAAUACAUGCAAGUCGAGCGAACAGACGAGGAGCUUGCUCCUCUGACGUUAGCGGCGGACGGGUGAGUAACACGUGGAUAACCUACCUAUAAGACUGGGAUAACUUCGGGAAAACGGAGCUAAUACCGGAUAAUAUAUUGAACCGCAUGGUUCAAUAGUGAAAGACGGUUUUGCUGUCACUUAUAGAUGGAUCCGCGCCGCAUUAGCUAGUUGGUAAGGUAACGGCUUACCAAGGCAACGAUGCGUAGCCGACCUGAGAGGGUGAUCGGCCACACUGGAACUGAGACACGGUCCAGACUCCUACGGGAGGCAGCAGUAGGGAAUCUUCCGCAAUGGGCGAAAGCUUGACGGAGCAACGCCGCGUGAGUGAUGAAGGUCUUCGGAUCGUAAAACUCUGUUAUUAGGGAAGAACAAAUGUGUAAGUAACUAUGCACGUCUUGACGGUACCUAAUCAGAAAGCCACGGCUAACUACGUG
rnacentral:rRNA from 1 species